UACAGAGGUCCCAAGCGUUGUUCGGAUUCAUUGGGCGUAAAGGGUGUGUAGGUGGCGCCGUAAGUCGGGUGUGAAAUUUCGGAGCUUAACUCCGAAACUGCAUUCGAUACUGCGGUGCUUGAGGACUGGAGAGGAGACUGGGAUUCAUGGUGUAGCAGUGAAAUGCGUAGAGAUCAUGAGGAAGACCAGUGGCGAAGGCGGGUCUCUGGACAGUUCCUGACACUGAGACACGAAGGCCAGGGGAGCAAACGGG
rnacentral:rRNA from 1 species